rnacentral:rRNA from 1 species
GACGAACGCUGGCGGCGUGCUUAACACAUGCAAGUCGAGCGGAAAGGCCCUUCGGGGUCCUCGAGCGGCGAACGGGUGAGUAACACGUGCGUAAUCUGCCCCUGGCUUUGGGAUAACUACCGGAAACGGUGGCUAAUACCGGAUACGACAACCGUCUGCAUGGGCUGGUUGUGGAAAGUUUUUUCGGCCAGGGGUGUGCUCGCGGCCGAUCAGCCUGUUGGUGGGGUAAUGGCCUACCAAGGCUUCGACGGGUAGCCGGCCUGAGAGGGUGACCGGCCACACUGGGGCUGAGACACGGCACGGACUGCUACGGGGGGCAGCAGUGGGGAAUAUUGGACAAUGGGCGGAAGCCUGGUCCAGCGACGCCGCGUGAGGGAUGACGGGCAUCGGGUUGUAAACCUCUUUCAGUACCGGCGAAGCGACGAUGAUGGGGGUGACGGUAGGUACAGAAGAAGCACCGGCCAACUACGUG